UUUCAGUGAGCUGCGACAGCACCAGUCUUUUAAACUGGGGAAGAUAAUAUUUUAUCACUGAUCA
rnacentral:tRNA from 1 species